AGUGAACGCUGGCGGUAGGCCUAACACAUGCAAGUCGAACGGCAGCACAGUAAGAGCUUGCUCUUACGGGUGGUGAGUGGCGGACGGGUGAGGAAUACAUCGGAAUCUACUUUUUCGUGGGGGAUAACGUAGGGAAACUUACGCUAAUACCGCAUACGACCUACUGGUGAAAGCAGGGGAUCUUCGGACCUUGCGCGAUUGAAUGAGCCGAUGUCGGAUUAGCUAGUUGGCGGGGUAAAGGCCCACCAAGGCGACGAUCCGUAGCUGGUCUGAGAGGAUGAUCAGCCACACUGGAACUGAGACACGGUCCAGACUCCUACGGGAGGCAGCAGUGGGGAAUAUUGGACAAUGGGGGAAAGCCUGAUCCAGCCAUACCGCGUGGGUGAAGAAGGCCUUCGGGUUGUAAAGCCCUUUUGUUGGGAAAGAAAAGCAGCAGGUUAAUACCCCGCUGUUCUGACGGUACCCAAAGAAUAAGCACCGGCUAACUUCGUG
rnacentral:rRNA from 1 species